CGCGCGGCCCCUCCGGCCCUGCCUGGCGGCGCCGGUCCCGGGUCGCCGCUCGCCGCCGCCAUGAGCCUGCCGGAGGUGGAGCCGCACAUCUCCCGCAAGUACGAGAUCAAGAGGCGCCUGGGCAAGGGGGCUUACGGCAUUGUGUGGAAAGCAAUCGAUCGCAGGACGGGAGAGGUAGUUGCUGUUAAAAAGAUUUUUGAUGCCUUCAGGAACAGAACAGAUGCUCAGAGAACAUUUCGAGAGAUUAUGUUCCUGCAGCACUUUGGUGAGCAUCCAAAUAUCAUCAGGCUGCUUGACGUCAUCCGUGCCGAGAACGACAAGGACAUCUACCUCGUCUUUGAGUCCAUGGAGACAGAUUUGCAUGCCGUGAUUAAGAAGGGGAAUUUGCUGAAAGAUAUCCACAAGUCUUACAUUCUCUACCAACUUCUGAAGGCAACUAAAUUCAUCCACUCAGGAAAUGUUAUUCACAGAGAUCAGAAGCCUUCCAACAUCUUGCUGGAUGCAGACUGCUUUGUUAAGCUUUGUGACUUUGGGCUGGCUCGUUCCUUAAGCCAACUGCACGAGGACCAAGGCAACCCAGCUCUGACGGAGUAUGUGGCCACGCGCUGGUACCGAGCCCCUGAGAUCCUGCUUGCCUCUCAGAGGUACACUAAAGGCGUAGACAUGUGGAGCAUUGGCUGUAUCCUGGGGGAGCUGCUGCUUGGGAAGCCUCUUUUCCCUGGAACAUCAACAGUUAAUCAAAUCGAGCAGAUCUUCAGAGUCAUUCCUGCCCCAUCCCCAGAAGAUCUCGUGGCUGUGCAGUCAGACUACAAGGCUUUGAUCAUGAACCAUGUCAGUUCCAGGCAGCGAGUAACGUUUGAGGAGCUUUUGCCACCCUCUACUCCAUUGCCUGCCUUGGAUCUCCUGAAGAAGCUUUUAGUCUUUAACCCUGAGAAACGACUCACAGCAGAGCAGGCUCUGCAGCACCCCUAUGUGAGAAGGUUUCACUGUCCUGCCAGGGAGCCCUCUCUGGAUUCUGAUGUGGUUCUUCCUUUAGGUGAUGCUGUCCAGCUGUCCGUGGCAGAAUACCGAAACAAACUGUAUGAGAUGAUCCUAGAGAGGAAAUUAAAUGGACACCCAAAGGAGCAGGUGCAGAGAGAAAAUGCUCAGCUAAGUCAGCCUGAAUCCAGGCCACUUCUCCCAGAUGCCAGUUCUGUGACUUUGCCUGCCAGGAAAGGCCAGAGGCAAGCAACAUCUCCUUCUCCAAAAGCUUCCUCUGUGCAUGCUGGAGCUACAGCCAGCGUCCAGCCACAAGCACCCAGCCAGGGCGAAGGGUUAGCAAGGGCUCCGUGUCAGAGAGCACAGCUCAGUGUGAUGUACAACCCCAUCACACACACUGCUGUUCCAGGUAAUGCAAAUUCUGGUGCCGUGAGCAGGAGCUGUUCUGCACCACCUUCUCAACAGGCCAGAGCUGCUGGUGACUGGAAACUGGGGAGACCAAGCACAUGGGCAAAUGCUCAGCUGCCUCCUACAAGACUGCAGAAACCUCACAAUAAUCCAAGAGUGACUCAGUUUCCCAGCAGAGAGGUUCGUCCCCUUCCAAAGCCCAGUAAGAAGAUGUUCCAGAUCACUGCAAACGUUGGAGCUGCUGGAGAUCCAAAAGCAUCAAUGGGCAGCUACUCCCAGGCCUAUGGCACCAUCUGUAAAUCUGCUCUGCAGAGUCUGCCAAUGCCCAAGUCCUCCCAGCAACAGGAGCAGUGAAGGUGGAGAAAGCAAUGGUCCCAGAGAUACCAAUGGUGAAACAUCAGGAAGUUGUUAUCAGGCAACAGUGGCACUACAGCAACCUUUAAAUCUACGUUCCUGCUGUAACUCUGAGUUUUGGUACUUUCUCCUUGUUAACUUGAAGUUCUUCUAACAAGUCUGUCCCUGAAAUGCUACUUCACCUGUUCUAGAAGGUUGAGCCUGCAGAUACAGAGGAGAUUCAGGCACUCCAGUCCAGCAGGCAUCCAGCUCCAGCUGCUUGGAACGGAGGAAGCCCCUGACAGGGUCCAUCUGGGAAUUCUCCAUCUCCACCUUUUUGUACAUCCGCAUGGCCGAGCCCUCCACGGUGUGCCGCAGCAUGUCGUCCCGACGGAAGUUGGACAGGAAGUACCUGUCCGGGUCCAUGCGGUCCAUGAAGGAGGGGAAGAGGCUCUCAUCCCUCUGGAACGACAUCAGGGGGGCUUUCUUCGGGAAGAAAGGCAGAUUAUUGCCAAAAGGGGCCAUGGCAAAGGCGUUCUCCGCCUUGGCCAAGAGGUUGGCUGGAGGGACGAGAGGCUCCGACUGCGCAAAGAGGAUGCGGAACUCCUCGUCAAAGCUGGCCACCAGCUCCCCCUGGAAGAUGUGCGCAAUGCUGCGGUGGAUCUUCUCGAAGGACCACAUAAAGCUGCAAGGAGAAGCACAGUGGUGACAGUGUGUGAGCAUCAAGCACCUUGACUGCACCACCCUGCAGCAAAACAAUUGCCCACGUGGCAGAGCCCCAUUCCUGGAGAUCAGAGAGUCACAGAAUCAGCCAGGUUGGAAGAGAGCUCCAAGCUCACCCAGCCCAACCUAGCACCCAGCCCUGGCCAAGCAACCAGACCAUGGCACUAAGUGCCUCAUCCAAGUUUUGUCUUGGACACCUCCAGACAUGGUGACUCCACCACCUCCCUGGGCAGCCCACUCCAAUGCCAAUCACUCUCUCUGCCAACAACUUCCUCCUAACAUCCAACCUAGACCUGCCCUGGCACAGCUUGAGACUGUGUCCCCUUGUUCUGUUGCUGGGUGCCUGGCAGCAGAGCCCAACCCCACCUGGCCACAGCCUCCCUUCAGGCAGCUGCAGACAGCAAUGAGCUCUGCCCUGAGCCUCCUCUGCUGCAGGCUGCACACCCCCAGCUUCCUCAGCCUCUGCUCACAGGGCUGUGCUCCAGGCCCCUCCCCAGCCUUGCUGCCCUUCUCUGGACACCUUUCAACAUCUCUCUUGAAUUGAGGGUCCCAGAACUGGACACAGCACUCAAGGUGUGUCCUGAGCAGUGCUGAGCACAGGGGCAGAAGAACCUCCCUUGUCCUGCUGCCCACACUGCUCCUGAGCCAGCCCAGGAUGCCACUGGCUCUCCUGCCCGUCUGGGCACAUUGCUGCCUCAUCUUCAGCUACUAUCUACCAACACUCCCAAGAUACUCAAGGUGAGGGUUGAGAGAGCUCUGGGCGACCUGGUCUAGUGGAGGAUGUCCCUGCUGGAGGUCUCUUCCAACCCAAGCCAAUCUGUGAUGAGAAAGCUUACAGCUCAGACAGCCAUUGCACCCUUAUGUUCCCAGCCUCUCAGGCAUGAUCUUUGGGCUCACAGCUUCGUGGAGGCUUUCACAAGGCAAUACAUGAAACCAGCCAGUGCUCACAGCAGCAGGAAAGCAAGCUGCUGGAAGUCCUUCUGUGAAGUAGAUGUUCCUGCGAUUGCUCUGGGCUACAACUGUUGUAACUAAAAUGUUGCACCCAUCUUUAAAGAGAGCAGAAGGAUCAGCCUGGGAAGUGCAGCAAGCCCAGCUUUGCAGCCAGCAGGCCAAGGGAACACUAUUCCCCUUUAGUUGGUGCUUGUGACACUGCAAAACCUGGAAUACUGAGUCUGGAUUUCACCAGAUCACAGAAUGGUUGAUGUCAGAAGGGAGCUCCAGAGGUAUCUGGCCCAGCCAUUCUGUGAUCCUCUGCCAGAAGGAGGAAGAUGCUCAGCAUGAUGGUGUUUGUCUUCCCAGGUCAUGCUCUGCUUUCCGGGAAGCAGCCAGAUCCCUGCCUGCUGACGGGAAGCAGUGAAUGGACUCGUAUCUUGCCCUGCUGGCAUGUGUGGGUUUGCUUUAGCUGUCCAACUGACUUCAGCUCACCCACGACUGGUCUCACAUUUAGGCUUCCAGCCCCUAUCUUGCCUGGAGUAGCAGGGUCCAUCUGUGUGGGGUUAGCUGCCUGCUGGGGUUAACCCAGACCACCUCAGAAUGACUCUGCUAUUUUUACAGACUGGCUACACUGCUGAUGAGAAGGAAGCUGCCCUGCGGUGCCUGGGCUCCAGGGCUCAUUUCACUGCUGCAUCUGAGGUGCUUCUGCACAAAACCGCUACUCAGUGUCCCUCAGGGGCCUGAGCCACUGACGUUCCUUUGGAAGCACUGGAGCACUGCUUUCCCAUCUGCCAGCCUCCUCACCCAAACGAGGACGCGUUCUCACCUGUAGUUGCCACUCAGCACCACCAUGCAGUCCACCAAGAGGAAUUUCUCUUUCACGUGGCCUUUGAAGGACAUCCCUGUGCGGCAGUAGUAGGUUGGGCCAGAAACUGUCCUCACUCUUAGGAACUGCAAACCAGAGAAGGCACUGACUCAGUUGGAAGCUCUCACUGCCCUCUACUUGCCCCUCCUUCUUCCCCUUGCUAACUUCCACUCUGCCACCACUUCUGUGCUUCAGCUCUAGCAUUCUGUCUGUGUACACAAUGGGUAGAUAAACGUGCUCCUGAGUGUGUCCUCAGCCCUCAGCUGCUGUGCUAGCUCUCCUAGCUUUCUCCACAAGCAUCUCUCACGUGGCCCUGGCCUAUUUUUCCCCUUCUGACUGUCAGAACAGCCCUCAGAGUCCCCCUCAAGAUGCCCUCAGGGGGCAGGGCAGGUCUUUGAACUGCUCACCUCCACAUAGUUCAGGUUGACUCUGCAUUUAGCAGCUGUAUCCAGGAAGAGCUGAGAGUUCAUUUCAUCCAGCAGGAUGUACACAGGCACUCUGCGAGCAGCAGCGUCCAGCACCUCGAACAGCAGAUCCACGUCAGUGAAAAUGUCCAUCACGAUGGCUACCACCUAGGAAAAGAACACAAGAGACACAUCACCAGCUCUGCCUGCUUCUGCCCCCAGCACCUCACCUUCCAAAGCUGGCCUCUCUCCAUUUCAACCUUUUAAACUGGAACCUUCCCAUCUAGAGGUUCCUUAGGACUGGAAACAGAAAGGCAGCCUAAGGUGCUUAUUCUGUAGGCGAGGGUGAGAGGAGAGAGAGAAGCUUUACUGCUGCUGAGCAUCCCCUUACUCAUUAAGCUGAUGACAGCAGCUGAUUUUUUGGUCAUGUAACCUACACUGGAGCUGCUUGGCCACUACCUGCUCACCCCUUCCAACACACCCAUGCCAUUUUUAGAUAAACUCUUGACUUGUGUUCAGUCAACCACUA